CCUACGGGAGGCAGCAGUGGGGAAUAUUGGACAAUGGGCGGAAGCCUGAUCCAGCAAUGCCGCGUGUGUGAAGAAGGCCUGAGGGUUGUAAAGCACUUUCAGCGGGGAGAAAGAGCUCGUUGCUAAUAUCAACGAAGGAUGAUGUUACCCGCAGAAGAAGCACCGGCUAACUCUGUGCCAGCAGCCGCGGUAAUACAGAGGGUGCGAGCGUUAAUCGGAAUUACUGGGCGUAAAGGGUGCGUAGGUGGUUUAGUAAGUUAGAUGUGAAAUUCCUGGGCUUAACCUGGGGACUGCGUCUGAUACUGCUAGGCUAGAGUACUGUAGAGGGAAGUGGAAUUUCCGGUGUAGCAGUGAAAUGCGUAGAUAUCGGAAGGAACAUCAGUGGCGAAAGGCGACUUCCUGGACAGAUACUGACACUGAGGCACGAAAGCGUGGGAGCAAACAGGAUUAGAUACCCUGGUAGUCAUGCUGUAAACGAUGAAGACUGGCUGUUGGUUGCCCUUGGGCAAUUAGUAGCGAAGCUAACGCGUUAAGUCUUCCGCCUGGGGAGUACGGCCGCAAGGUUAAAACUCAAAGGAAUUGACGGGGGCCCGCACAAGCGGUGGAACAUGUGGUUUAAUUCGACGCAACGCGAAGAACCUUACCUACCCUUGACAUGCUCGGAAUCUGCCAGAGAUGGUGGAGUGCCUUCGGGAGCCGAGACACAGGUGCUGCAUGGCUGUCGUCGGCUCGUGUCGUGAGAUGUUGGGUUAAGUCCCGUAACGAGCGCAACCCCUAUUCUUAGUUGCCAACAGGUAAAGCUGGGAACUCUAAGGAGACUGCCGGUGACAAGCCGGAGGAAGGUGGGGAUGACGUCAAGUCCUCAUGGCCCUUACGGGUAGGGCAACACACGUGUUACAAUGGUCAGUACAGAGGGAAGCGAAGUCGCGAGAUGGAGCGAAUCCUUUAAAAGCUGAUCGUAGUCCGGAUUGGAGUCUGCAACUCGACUCCAUGAAGUUGGAAUCGCUAGUAAUCGCGGAUCAGAACGCCGCGGUGAAUACGUUCCCGGGCCUUGUACACACCGCCCGU
rnacentral:rRNA from 1 species